UUUACCGUGCCAAAGGUAGCAUAAUCAUUUGUCUUUUAAUUAAAGGCUUGUAUGAAUGGUUGGAUGAGAUAUAAUCUAUUUUUAUUUAAUUAAAAAUGAAUUUUAAUUUUUAGUAAAAAUGCUAAAAUAAAAAAUAUAGACGAGAAGACCCUAUAAAUCUUUAUUAUUUUUUUAUUAAUUUAUUAAUAGAAUAUAAAAUUUAUUAGUAUAAAAAUAAUUUUAUUGGGGUGAUAAUUAAAUUUAAUAAACUUUUAUUUUAUUUUAUAAAUAUAAUUAAUUUAAUGAUCCAUUUUUAAUGAUUACAAAAUUAAGUUACUUUAGGGAUAACAGCGUAAUUAUUUUAAAGAGUUCAUAUCGAUAAAAUAGUUUGCGACCUCGAUGUUCAAUGCUGGUCGUCUGUCAAUAGUCAGACGCAAGCCUG
rnacentral:rRNA from 1 species